AGAUAAGGAGCUUGCUCCUUUGACGUUAGCGGCGGACGGGUGAGUAACACGUGGGUAACCUACCUAUAAGACUGGGAUAACUUCGGGAAACCGGAGCUAAUACCGGAUAACAUUUGGAACCGCAUGGUUCUAAAGUGAAAGAUGGUUUUGCUAUCACUUAUAGAUGGACCCGCGCCGUAUUAGCUAGUUGGUAAGGUAACGGCUUACCAAGGCGACGAUACGUAGCCGACCUGAGAGGGUGAUCGGCCACACUGGAACUGAGACACGGUCCAGACUCCUACGGGAGGCAGCAGUAGGGAAUCUUCCGCAAUGGGCGAAAGCCUGACGGAGCAACGCCGCGUGAGUGAUGAAGGGUUUCGGCUCGUAAAACUCUGUUAUUAGGGAAGAACAAACGUGUAAGUAACUGUGCACGUCUUGACGGUACCUAAUCAGAAAGCCACGGCUAACUACGUGCCAGCAGCCGCGGUAAUACGUAGGUGGCAAGCGUUAUCCGGAAUUAUUGGGCGUAAAGCGCGCGUAGGCGGUUUCUUAAGUCUGAUGUGAAAGCCCACGGCUCAACCGUGGAGGGUCAUUGGAAACUGGGAAACUUGAGUGCAGAAGAGGAAAGUGGAAUUCCAUGUGUAGCGGUGAAAUGCGCAGAGAUAUGGAGGAACACCAGUGGCGAAGGCGACUUUCUGGUCUGUAACUGACGCUGAUGUGCGAAAGCGUGGGGAUCAAACAGGAUUAGAUACCCUGGUAGUCCACGCCGUAAACGAUGAGUGCUAAGUGUUAGGGGGUUUCCGCCCCUUAGUGCUGCAGCUAACGCAUUAAGCACUCCGCCUGGGGAGUACGACCGCAAGGUUGAAACUCAAAGGAAUUGACGGGGACCCGCACAAGCGGUGGAGCAUGUGGUUUAAUUCGAAGCAACGCGAAGAACCUUACCAAAUCUUGACAUCCUUUGAAAACUCUAGAGAUAGAGCCUUCCCCUUCGGGGGACAAAGUGACAGGUGGUGCAUGGUUGUCGUCAGCUCGUGUCGUGAGAUGUUGGGUUAAGUCCCGCAACGAGCGCAACCCUUAAGCUUAGUUGCCAUCAUUAAGUUGGGCACUCUAGGUUGACUGCCGGUGACAAACCGGAGGAAGGUGGGGAUGACGUCAAAUCAUCAUGCCCCUUAUGAUUUGGGCUACACACGUGCUACAAUGGACAAUACAAAGGGCAGCUAAACCGCGAGGUCAUGCAAAUCCCAUAAAGUUGUUCUCAGUUCGGAUUGUAGUCUGCAACUCGACUACAUGAAGCUGGAAUCGCUAGUAAUCGUAGAUCAGCAUGCUACGGUGAAUACGUUCCCGGGUCUUGUACACACCGCCCGUCACACCACGAGAGUUUGUAACACCCGAAGCCGGUGGAGUAACCAUUU
rnacentral:rRNA from 1 species